GAGGAAGGAUCAUUAUUGAGAUCAUUUACACACCUGUGAAUAUACACUUGCUUGCCUAGUCGAAAGACUAGGCGACUUUAAAAACUACACUUUUAAUUUUGUCUGAGAUUACUAAUAAUUAAAAACUAUUAACAACGGAUCUCUUGGCUCUCACAUCGAUGAAGACCGCAGCAAAGCGCGAUAGAUAAUGUGAAUUGCAGACGUGAAUCAUUGAGUUGUUGAACGCACAUUGCGCUUUUCUUUAUGGAAAAGCAUACCUGUGCGAGCGUCAUUUCUCUCUCUACUACUCGUUAGUAGGUAUUGGCACUCUACUUAGUGCUUAAAACGAUCAUGCGUAUAUGUUAACCACAAUGUGCGCUUUAAAUCUUUUAAAUUGACCUCGUAUCAGGUAAGAGUACCCGCUUAACUUAAGCAUAUCAAUAAGCGGAGGGGAA
rnacentral:rRNA from 1 species